CCCGCAACGAGCGCAACCCUUGUCCUUAGUUGCCAGCACGUAAUGGUGGGAACUCUAAGGAGACCGCCGGUGACAAACCUGAGGAAGGUGGGGAUGACGUCUAGUCAUCAUGGCCCUUACGGCCAGGGCUACACACGUACUACUAUGGUUGGGACAGAGGGCUGCACGCCGGCGACUGUUAGCCAAUCCCAGAAACCCUAUCUCAGUCCGGAUUGGAGUCUGCAACUCGACUCCGUGAAGUCGGAAUCGCUGUAAUCGCAUAUCAGCAUUGCUGCGGUGAAUACGUU
rnacentral:rRNA from 1 species